UUACGGUCAAAUAACGCUGAAAACACCGGUUCUCGUUCGAUCACCGAAGUUAAGCAUCGUAGAGCCAGGUCAGUACUUAGAUGGGGGAACACCUGGU